rnacentral:rRNA from 1 species
UACGUAGGGUGCAAGCGUUGUCCGGAAUUAUUGGGCGUAAAGGGCUCGUAGGCGGUUAGUCGCGUCGGGAGUGAAAACUCAGGGCUCAACCCUGAGCGUGCUUCCGAUACGGGCUGACUAGAGGUAUGCAGGGGAGAACGGAAUUCCUGGUGUAGGCGGUGGAAUGCGCAGAUAUCAGGAGGAAUACCGAUGGCGAAGGCAGGUCUCUGGGCUGACACUGACGCUCAUGCACGAAAGCGUGGGGAGCAAACAGG